UCCGAGUUGACCCCGGCAGUCUCCUAUGAGUCCCCACCAUAACGUGCUGGCAACAUAGGACGAGGGUUGCGCUCGUUGCGGGACUUAACCCAACAUCUCACGACACGAGCUGACGACAGCCAUUCAGCACCUGUGUUCCAGCCAGCCGAACUGAAGGACCGCAUCUCUGCAGCCCAUACUGGACAUGUCAAGGGUAGGUAAGGUUCUGCGCGUUGCUUCGAAUUAAACCACAUGCUCCGCUGCUUGUGCGGGUCCCCGUCAAUUCCUUUGAGUUUUAGCCUUGCGGCCGUACUCCCCAGGCGGGGCACUUAAUGCGUUAGCUUCGGCACGGAGGGAGUCGACACCCCCCACACCUAGUGCCCAUCGUUUACAGCGUGGACUAC
rnacentral:misc_RNA from 1 species